ACGGAAGGCAGCAGUGGGGAAUAUUGGGCAAUGGGCGAAAGCCUGACCCAGCAACGCCGCGUGAAGGAAGGAGGUCUUCGGAUUGUAAACUUCUUUUAUAAGGGACGAAGAAAGUGACGGUACCUUAUGAAUAAGCCACGGCUAACUACGUGCCAGCAGCCGCGGUAAUACGUAGGUGGCAAGCGUUAUCCGGAUUUACUGGGUGUAAAGGGCGCGUAGGCGGGGAUGCAAGUCAGAUGUGAAAUCUAUGGGCUUAACUCAUAAACUGCAUUUGAAACUGUAUCUCUUGAGUGCUGGAGAGGUAGCUGGAAUUCCUGGUGUAGCGGUGAAAUGCGUAGAUAUUAGGAGGAACACCAGUGGCGAAGGCGGCUUACUGGACUGUAACUGACGUUGAGGCUCGAAAGCGUGGGGAGCAAACAGGAUUAGAUACCCUGGUA
rnacentral:rRNA from 1 species